GUAGCGCAUCUGAUUUGGGAUCAGAGGGUCGUAGGUUCGAAUCCUAUC
rnacentral:tRNA from 1 species